GCUGAGAGAGACCAGGAUCCCUUGGAAACCCAGGAGUUAAUGGGGCACAGUGGUGGCACCCUAACAUCGGGAGCAAUGUCCCCAGCACCCCAAACAUCCUCAGAGGAUAGUGGGGAUGAAGGAACAAGUGAGACUGGCUCAGGAAUAUCAUCCAGAACUAGGAGCAAGACCCCUGUAGAAAAGAAGCUCAUAGCACCACUUAGACAAGUGGUGGGGCCAGAUGGGGGAAUAACAAAAGUUAAAACACCAUUUACAGCUUUGGAUUUAGAUACCUGGAGGGAGGCAGCCAGAAUGCAUAGAGAAGACCCUGAAAAGGUAGCAAAGAGGUUUGAAUUGGUUGUUAGAAAUCAAGAUAUUGAUUGGGAGGAUAUAGACCUCGUGCUGUCAGAAUUAACUGAGACAGAAAAAGCUGCUGUAGUAUCCACAGCAAGAACACACAAGAUUAUGAAUCUACAACUAUGGACUCAUUGUGAAACCUUUAUACCAACUCCUAAAAGAGACUGGGGGAACUCACCUAUGCUGGACACCAGAGACUAAUAAUGCAUUGAUAACUCCGAAACGUGAGUUAAUGCAAGC